rnacentral:rRNA from 1 species
GAUGAACGCUGGCGGCGUGCCUAAUACAUGCAAGUCGAGCGAACAGACGAGGAGCUUGCUCCUCUGACGUUAGCGGCGGACGGGUGAGUAACACGUGGAUAACCUACCUAUAAGACUGGGAUAACUUCGGGAAACCGGAGCUAAUACCGGAUAAUAUAUUGAACCGCAUUGUUCAAUAGUGAAAGACGGUUUUGCUGUCACUUAUAGAUGGAUCCGCGCCGCAUUGGCUAGUUGGUAAGGUAACGGCUUACCAAGGCAACGAUGCGUAGCCGACCGGCGAGGGUGAUAGGCGACACUGGAACUGAGACACGGUCCAGACUCCUACGGGAGGCAGCAGUAGGGAAUCUUCCGCAAUGGGCGAAAGCUUGACGGAGCAACGCCGCGUGAGUGAUGAAGGUCUUCGGAUCGUAAAACUCUGUUAUGAGGGAAGAACAAAUGUGUAAGUAACUAUGCACGUCUUGACGGUACCUAAUCAGAAAGCCACGGCUAACUACGUG